CAUAAAACUGUUAAAAAAGACGGCAGCGGAUUCAUCCAGGCCGCUGCAUGCCUCGUCAACCUGUGCCUCCUCCCAGCCCAGCAAUCGUCCGAUAUAAUCCCGGAGAGGAAUGCGGCGUAGGUAGUAGUCACCCUUGUACAAGCUCCAACAAGCUUGCAGCAAGAUGAGCUUCACUAUGAAUUCCCCCCGAGGUCCAGCAUCCACAUAGCCAUCGUAGCAGCCGUUCAGGAACAGCCCUAGAGCAACUUCUAGAGGCUCGCCACUCUUGCGGUUGAGAAUCCUAGCGGCCGCUUCACUCACAACGGGCUCCACGGGCUGACUGAUAUGCACUCUCGUACGAUCGAGGGAGAUGAACGUAAGGAUACUCAUGUGAGAAGCGACAAGAAGCUGGCUUUGCGCACUCCGCGGGCAUAUCUCCAGGCCCGCUGAUGCUGAAAGCAAGGCCAACGCUUGGCUCUCAGCCAUCUGUACCUUUCCGGUAGAACCACAAACGUCCACAGCUUGCCCCUGAAAGUCCCCGUGCAGCACCCCAACCAGCUUGGCUUCCGCGAGAUCGAGGAGGCUCCACACAUUUGGAUUGCUGUCAAGGCGGCUACUCCAUAGGGGCCUUCCAUACCUGAACAACUGAGCUGGAGACAAAUCCGUAGUCCGAGGAACAAGGUCCAUAUUCACCACCUGAUGAAUAGGCCUUAAAAGCCGCAAACCCAGGAUAUUAGCUUUCCUCGACUGGUCCUCGUGCCGUCCCAGGAUAUUAGCUUUCCUCGACUGGUCCUCGUGCCGUCGAGGCUGCAGAUUACUGAUACUCCCCAUCGUAUCCAUGACAACUGCAAAGUAUUUCUUGUGUGUGAAGAAAGCUCUCGCCACUCGCCUCAUCUGGUAAAACGGCGAUUGUACCAUACUGAAGGUGCUUUCCCCAUUCGGUAAGAGACCGCGACCUUCAUCAAAAACAAAAAGCACCUGCACCUCCCCCUCUUCCGGCAGUACAUCCUUCAAGUUUUCAAGCUCUCGUUGGAGUAGAUUCUCGUUCCUGGCAUCCGGUGACUCACUAAUUUCCUCUACAGCUCUGCUGUUGAUCAAUUCAAGCCAUUUCUUGUGCACGGCCUCCGCAAUACUGGACGAAUCCAUCUGGGAAUCCAUCCACUGCACUGAGCUCAUCUUCUCACCCUUCACCGUCUCAUGGAGGACAAAAAGCCACGCCUUGAAGUAUAGCGCCAUCUCCAACUCGCUGUUCGUUCGGCUGAGCUGGUUGGCAAGCUCCCCAGUUCGAGGAGGACAGGCGCUACUGUUUGCUGCCGCCGUGCUGCAAUAGCAAAUAUACACUCCCAGGCGCGACAUCUGCAUCACCCCGCGUGUUUUCCCCGUGCCAGAACCCUGUACUAUGGAGGUAUAGCAGCUGUAGUGCUGGUCUACACAAUAGCCAGUGCUAUAGGCCACAAUAACAGAAGAAUUCAAGACUUACUCUUUGAGCAUUCGUUCCUCAACUUACACAGCUCCUUGUACAAUAUCUUAUGAGCCCCCCCAAUGUACUCCCUCCGUAACGAUUUCAUCGCCACUUUCAUAUUACUCUCGUGCCACAAACGAUCACGAUCAGGCCCAGUGUUCUCUGCACAGGCACAAGCAAAAGAAUACUCGAGCACCAGACGAAAACACAGAACUUUCACCUAUCGGCUUCUGCAUGAGGAGCCUUUCACAUUGACGCAGCCACUCGCACGAAACAUACUCCAACCUCUCCUUUAUCCACUGUAGCAGCUUGAGGUCUCGUGUUUCUUUCUUUGCCACUAGUUCGCUUAUCGUGUCGGAGCGAGCCGCUACUGCACAGGAAAUGCAAAAAGAACAGUAGCCUAAAGAAACAGCGAAAGAACUUACAGUUGAACAGCGCAAAGAUUUGGCAUGCGAGAUCAGGAUUUCCUGGAAACAAGGCGAAAACCUCACAUACAUCGGCCGUCCACAACCUGGAGGCCGAAUAGCCUUGCCGCUGAAGGCGCUCAUAGUCAGGCCCGCAAAGAUCCCGCAAGCGCUCCUCGCCGUCAUCGCAGACGCUCUCCAUUAAACCCUAGAACUUACCACCCAAUCUUAUGGGGUCUGUCAACAUAUAGUAAUUUCAAUUUACUCGUUUCACCAUUAAAAUUUUCGUCACAUCUAGUAUCAGCUUUCCUCUGAGUCCGCAUGGCCCUGCACAACAUGAAACGCCAUGUAAAGUUGAAGCCAACCAAAAGAGUAAGAAGAAAGAAAGAGGAGUUACAUUUUGGUAAAAGGUCACAAUAUGUACUGCUCGAAGUAGACUAUUGUUGCUGUGCUGUUUCAGCAUUUUGCAUUGCUCACAGCCUCCGGCACUGGCAUAAGUUGUGAAUUGUACCACUUCUGCAAUUGCCAAAGCAGUGAAGUAUAUACUUCUAAGUGGCUGGAAAUUAUUUUCUACAUCUUGUGUUUUGCUUGGCAUCUGGAUCUCGAGUAAUGGGAAUCACUGCAAGCGCCAUUUAAGGAUUCUGAAGCUUCUAAUGUAGCAAGUAUGUACAAUAACAAAAACAUCAGGUCAACAUGCGGCAAUGGCAGAAGAAUGUUUUCUGAUUUUGCAUGACAUUUCUUCAUCCUUGGAUUUUUUCCCCUAUGAGUUUGCUGUUCUUCUUGUAAUAGGACAAGCAUUGUGAGGAUUAGCAAAGCAAAACUUUCAAUACUAGUAGCAUAGAAGUCAUAUUUAAAUUCUUGCUGCUUGCUAGACUGUAGUAAAGAUUGAUUCUUAUUUAUCCAACAAUUUAUUCUAAGUGCUAGGGGGCUGUGAAUUUCUGGUAAGUAGCAAAUUUUCUUAUAUCUCCGUGUGAAGAGCUGUGUUUAUUUAUUCCAGGAGAAAAAAAGCCAGGUACUUCAAGGAUGGAUUGUACUACCACGGUAUCAUGGAACUUACUCUUUGAUAUGAUGCCUCUAAUCUACAAAGUUAUGCAGGUGGUAUGGGUCGACUCAUUCGAGCAGUGAGGGCGCUUGCAAGGCUUACACGAAAGGUUCUUCUUCCAGCCAAGCAAGGUUAUCUGAAUCUGUUGUUUUUCUUCACAGGAGCGCUUCAUCGAGUCUCUUGUUAAUGCGUCCACACUACAACAACAAAGAGAGCUCUGGUAUAAUGCAUCCGCAUGCACCAAAAGUAACUGUCUCACUUUGAUUGCCUGAGCAGGUUCGCUUGUGUAGGAUCACAAGCUGGGAUUUUUGCGAAGAUGGUAUCUUUCUUCGUAACCAACAGAUUCACGAUGUCGUUUUGUGCUGGAGUGUGCAAAGGCCAGCUUCGUCUGCUACGCAAGGAGGGCAACUUAUACAAGUAAGACAUCUUUCUCAGGCGUGAUUCUCAUUGAACCACUUGUCCUUUGUUUUCACAGCUACAUUGUCCGCUGUCUAAAUUCAACAGCUGCGUAUUCACAUCUCCGGGACAGCAACUACUUUUACCGCUGCUGCCUGACUGGGAAGUUUUCAUCCAACUGCUGUCCUCGUUUCCUGGAAAAGGAAAACUUCCACAAACUCAAGGUACUACACACGAACGACUUGCCAUGAAUUUCAAGACUUUUGUGCUGUGUUGCAGACAAGGCUUGCUGCGGAGGAGUGCCUGUUGAUCCGGACAGCCACAUUUGUGGAGGAGCUUUCGAAGCGAAUGUACACCAAGGUACGUACCUGGAACUUCUUGUUUGGUGAAAUGCUGUGUAUUGCUUGGUGCUCAGGUGAUUUUGAUGGACCACGUCGACUGGCUAGAACAAAGCGACGUCGAUGUCCUUUGCAAAGCGCUGCAAGCACAUGUAAUUGUAAGUAGUUGCGAAUUUCCACACCCUCGAUCACCUCACACUUGUGAUUUCCACUUGGUUUUUAGCCUGGAGGCCGCGUGAUCUGGCGCAGUGCGUCGCGACCUCCAAGCUACGCCAAUUGCAUCGAGAAAUCUGGAUUCAAAGGUUCGAAGUUCUUUCCUUUUUGGAACUGUUUUUGGAAGCUAAAAACCAAUUGUUUCUGCGCAGUGAUCCAAGUAGCAACGAGCAAGGCUUACAUGGACAGAGUAAACAUGUACGCGAGCUUCUUCGUGGCUGUUCGCGUGGGUGGAUUGGCAUCCAUCAAAAUUCCAAUCCAUCCAUCAUCGAGGCUUCACGAUCACAAGCUGGAUCCUAAAGAACCCGAGUCGCCGGACUCGGUGCUACCAGCGCCAUUGUGGAUCGAGAUUUGAUCGAUCAUUCCUUCCACUUCUCCACUGACGUCUAUCGAUUAAUUGGAACAUAACCAUUGUUAAUCAGCCCAAGGAAUAUAUUUGGCCCAAACCAUAUAAAUUGACUAUCCAUGAUGGGAUCUGCACAGCAAACUCCCGAAGCAGAGGUUAUGUAGAAUUUGCUGCAUUGCGUUAAACAUGCUGUUUGAGCAUAUAAAAAAAAAUGGUGGUGAUACUCCUUUCAUGGCAAAAAUCCGCAGCCACCUUCGCAGGAUUAGGACUGCUUGCCACGAUCAAUUCUUGUGGUGGUCUCUUUUGCCACCUUUGCAAGACUAAUUCAGGUGCAAGCUGAUUUGACUAAAAUAAUAUAGACCCCUUACCAGGUAUUUUGCCAUGAAAGCCAGGAGUGCUGAGCAGCACUAGACCUGGCAGCAACAACAAGAAUAAGAAGUAUGGAAGUAUAGAAUUAAAAGUAUAGAAGAAUAAGUAAGAAUAUUGGCUGAAUUAGCCUUCUUAACAUCAAUCUUUAAGAUUUAGACGAUGGGAUUGAUCCACAACAUCACCAGAAUGUAAAUAUGUUUUAAACUUGUUUAUAUGGAACAUUAGAUGAAUUUUUGAAUUAAUUGGCAAGUCCAAAAUGCAAACAAAAUCCCCCACACUAUGAAAUUGUCUAAGGCCCAUAACAUUGUGAAGACAAUGUAGCACCACCACCUCUUUUCAAAGACCAUUUUGCAUAUAACAACUUAAGGAAAACUUUAUCACCAACUUCGUACUCUUGAUGAUGAUAAUGUUCAUUAGUUAAUCUUUUAUCUUGUUCUUGAGUUUGUUUCAUGUUUAACUUUGUCAACUCAAAUUUAUCUUGUAUAUCCUCCAAGAAAUAAAAAAUAUAAAGCAUCCAAACCAAAGGUAAAUUCAAACUCAUGGAAUACUUAAGAAGCUCAUAGCCAUAUAUUAGCUUAUUAAUGAGCAUUAUAUGAGCAAAUUAAAGUGUGUUUACACUCUGGUGAUGUCAUGUCAUGAUGGAGCUAUGAUUUGACUUCACCUAAUUGCUUUCCAGCCUCCACCUAUGUAUCUAGCAUUGCAAUUGAAAAUUAAACUAGAAGUUUCUUCGUCUUAGCACCAAGGAAACAAAAGUUGGGUUCAAAACCAUAAAUUGUUUAUUGUGCACUGUCUUCUUGCCAAAGCUUCGUCAUCCUGCCAGUAAGACUUAUGCAGCUCAUCCUUCCUUUGUUGGCACUAGCUCUUUGGUUCUUGGACACUGAUGAGGACUGUCACCACUUUGAUUUGGAUUGCUAUGACUUGCACGUUAUUGUUGGCUUUGUACAUGAUUACAACGCAGCUGCUCAACUCCCCCUGCUUAACUAGAAUUUAAACUGUUAAUAGAGACCGCAGCGGAUUCAUCCAGACCGCUGCAUGCCUCGUCAACCUGUGCCUCCCCCAGCCCAGCAAUCGUCAGAGAUAAUCCCGGGGAGGAAUGCGGCAUAGGUAGUAGUCACCCUUGUACAAGCUCCAACAAGCUGCAGGAGGACGAGCUUCACUAUGAAUUCCCCCUAUGCCCAGCAUCCACAUAGCCAUUGUAGCAGCCGUUCAGGAACAGCCCUAGAGCAACUUCUAGA
rnacentral:lncRNA from 1 species